rnacentral:lncRNA from 1 species
UGAUAGAAAAAGAGUAGUUCUAUGUAAUUUGCAAGACUGAGUUCAGAAAGUCUCUGACCAGAGCAAGUGUGAAUACUGAAAAAAAAUUUCAAUGAGAUUCACAAAUGAAAUCGAGUCGAGCUAAUCUGACAUAUGACUGAUGAUGGAAUUUGACGAGUUCUCCAUGACCUCUAUCUGGUUGGGACUCACGAUAAAGAAAUUAUAUCAUACGAUAACUAUACCUAGGGCUUCAUCUUUUUUAUUCUAUUGGAUUAUCACUACAUGCUGUUAGGUAUCACUGG